UUUUAAAAUCUUAUUUGUUUGUAAUUUAAAAGUAUUUUAUUAGUUGAGUAAGUUGUAUUGAAUGAUUUUGGAUGAUUAUAUUUUAUUAGUACUGUGAAGGAAGGAUGAAAUAUGGUGAAAUAUUUAUUAGGAUAUUAGAAAAGAUUAAAUCUUGUACCUUUUGUAUCAGGGGUGAAUAAUUGAAAUUAUUUAUUUAUUUUUCCCGAAGGAAAGAGAGUUAAUAUGAAAUUGAAAUUGAUGUAGUAAAAUCAAGUUUUAUUUUGUGUUGGAGGUGAAAUGUCAAGCGAUCUUUUUGAUAUCUGGUUCUUUGAGAAAUGAAUUUAGUUCAGCUUUUGAAAAUAAAAGUUAUUUUUUUUUAUUUUUUUAUUUUCAGGAAGUGAGUAUCUAGGGGAUAAUCUCUAGAUAUAUUUAUAAGGUUUGUAGGAAAGAUUAGUUGUAGAUUUAGAAAUGAUCAUUUUGUGUAAUAGUAGAUUUAUUUUUUUUUAUUUUAUUUUUAGGUUUAGUAUCAAGGAUGUAUUGAUAAUUGUUAACAAAUUUUUAAAAUGUUUGUAUUAGUAGAAGUGAGGAGAGUUAGAAUUGUUAUUAAGGGUUGUAGUAAAAAAGACUGUAGGUUAAUUUUUUUUAAGGAACUCGGCAAAUAUUUUUUUCGCCUGUUUAUCAAAAACAUGGUUUUUUGUUUUUAUGAAAAAUCGGACCUGCCCAAUGAGGAGAUUUAAUGGCCGCGGUAUAUUGACCGUGCGAAGGUAGCAUAAUCAUUUGCUUUUUAAUUGAGGGCUAGUAUGAAUGGUUGGACGUAAAAAAAUCUGUCUUGGAAAUAGAUUUUGAAUUUUAUUUUUUAGUGAAAAAGCUGAAAUUUUACUAAGGGACGAGAAGACCCUAUUAAGCUUUACUUUUUUGGUUUUUUUUAUUAAUUUUCGGUUGGGAAAGGCUAAGAGAGUUUUACUGGGGCGGUAGAGAAAGAAACUUAUCUUUUUUUUUAUAAUAAUACUUAUUUGUGAAUUUUUGACCCACUUUUAGUGGUAAUAGGAGUAAGUUACUGUAGGGAUAACAGCGUAAUUUUUUCGGAGAGUUCUUAUCGGCGAAGAAGUUUGCGACCUCGAUGUUGAAUUAAAGAGUCAGUAGGGCGGAGAAGUUCUAUAUGAAGGUCUGUUCGACCUUUAAAUCUUUACGUGAUUUGAGUUCAGACCGGCGUGAGCCAGGUCGGUUUCUAUCUUUAGUUAUUAGGGAGGAUGUUUUAGUACGAAAGGACCAAACAUUAUAAAUUUUGUUUAUUUUAUUUAUUUUUAUUUUAUGUUA